rnacentral:rRNA from 1 species
UACGUAGGUGGCAAGCGUUGUCCGGAAUUAUUGGGCGUAAAGGGCGUGUAGGCGGAGUAUCAAGUCUUGUGUGAAAGUUUGCAGCUCAACUGUAAAAUUGCAUAGGAAACUGAUAGACUAGAGUGUCGGAGAGGAAAGCGGAAUUCCAUGUGUAGCGGUGAAAUGCGUAGAUAUAUGGAGGAACACCAGUGGCGAAGGCGGCUUUCUGGACGAUGACUGACGCUGAGGCGCGAAAGCGUGGGGAGCAAAC